GAUGAACGCUGGCGGCGUGCUUAACACAUGCAAGUCGAACGGUGAAGGCGGAGCUUGCUCUGCUGGAUCAGUGGCGAACGGGUGAGUAACACGUGAGCAAUCUGCCCCUGACUCUGGGAUAAGCGCUGGAAACGGCGUCUAAUACUGGAUACGAGCUGCGAAGGCAUCUUCAGCAGCUGGAAAGAAUUUCGGUCAGGGAUGAGCUCACGGCCUAUCAGCUUGUUGGUGAGGUAAUGGCUCACCAAGGCGUCGACGGGUAGCCGGCCUGAGAGGGUGACCGGCCACACUGGGACUGAGACACGGCCCAGACUCCUACGGGAGGCAGCAGUGGGGAAUAUUGCACAAUGGGCGAAAGCCUGAUGCAGCAACGCCGCGUGAGGGACGACGGCCUUCGGGUUGUAAACCUCUUUUAGCAGGGAAGAAGCGAAAGUGACGGUACCUGCAGAAAAAGCGCCGGCUAACUACGUG
rnacentral:rRNA from 1 species